GACGUAGGGCGCGAGCGUUGUCCGGAUUUAUUGGGCGUAAAGAGCUCGUAGGCGGCUUGUUGCGUCGACCGUGAAAACCCGGGGCUCAACUUCGGGCUUGCGGUCGAUACGGGCGGGCUAGAGUUCGGUAGGGGAGACUGGAAUUCCUGGUGUAGCGGUGAAAUGCGUAGAUAUCGGAAGGAACAUCAGUGGCGAAAGCGACUUCCUGGACCAAUACUGACGCUCAUGUGCGAAAGCGUGGGGAGCAAACAGG
rnacentral:rRNA from 1 species